GAUGAACGCUGGCGGCGUGCCUAAUACAUGCAAGUCGAGCGAAUGGAUUAAGAGCUUGCUCUUAUGAAGUUAGCGGCGGACGGGUGAGUAACACGUGGGUAACCUGCCCAUAAGACUGGGAUAACUCCGGGAAACCGGGGCUAAUACCGGAUAACAUUUUGAACCGCAUGGUUCGAAAUUGAAAGGCGGCUUCGGCUGUCACUUAUGGAUGGACCCGCGUCGCAUUAGCUAGUUGGUGAGGUAACGGCUCACCAAGGCAACGAUGCGUAGCCGACCUGAGAGGGUGAUCGGCCACACUGGGACUGAGACACGGCCCAGACUACUACGGGAGGCAGAAGUAGGGAAUCUUCCGCAAUGGACGAAAGUCUGACGGAGCAACGCCGCGUGAGUGAUGAAGGCUUUCGGGUCGUAAAACUCUGUUGUUAGGGAAGAACAAGUGCUAGUUGAAUAAGCUGGCACCUUGACGGUACCUAACCAGAAAGCCACGGCUAACUACGUGCCAGCCGCCGCCGUAA
rnacentral:rRNA from 1 species